GACGAACGCUGGCGGCGUGCUUAACACAUGCAAGUCGAACGGAAAGGCCCUGCUUUUGUGGGGUGCUCGAGUGGCGAACGGGUGAGUAACACGUGAGUAACCUGCCCUUUACUUUGGGAUAACUUCAGGAAACUGGGGCUAAUACCGGAUAGGAGCUCCUGCUGCAUGGUGGGGGUUGGAAAGUUUCGGCGGUUGGGGAUGGACUCGCGGCUUAUCAGCUUGUUGGUGGGGUAGUGGCUUACCAAGGCUUUGACGGGUAGCCGGCCUGAGAGGGUGACCGGGCACAUUGGGAAUGAGAUACGGCCCAGACUCCUACGGGAGGCAGCAGUGGGGAAUAUUGCACAAUGGGCGGAAGCCUGAUGCAGCAACGCCGCGUGCGGGAUGACGGCCUUCGGGUUGUAAACCGCUUUCGCCUGUGACGAAGCGUGAGUGACGGUAAUGGGUAAAGAAGCACCGGCUAACUACGUG
rnacentral:rRNA from 1 species